rnacentral:rRNA from 1 species
GAUUAGCUAGAUGGUGAGGUAAAGGCUCACCAUGGCGACGAUCCGUAGCUGGUCUGAGAGGACGACCAGCCACACUGGAACUGAGACACGGUCCAGACUCCUACGGGAGGCAGCAGUGGGGAAUUUUGGACAAUGGGCGAAAGCCUGAUCCAGCCAUACCGCGUGAGUGAAGAAGGCCUUCGGGUUGUAAAGCUCUUUCAGCCGGGAUGAUAAUGACAGUACCGGGAGAAUAAGCCCCGGCUAACUCCGUGCCAGCAGCCGCGGUAAUACGGAGGGGGCUAGCGUUGUUCGGAAUUACUGGGCGUAAAGCGUGCGUAGGCGGUAAUUCAAGUCAGAGGUGAAAGCCUGGUGCUCAACAUCAGAACUGCCUUUGAAACUAGAUUGCUAGAAUUGCGGAGAGGUGAGUGGAAUUCCGAGUGUAGAGGUGAAAUUCGUAGAUAUUCGGAAGAACACCAGUGGCGAAGGCGGCUCACUGGACGCAUAUUGACGCUGAGGUACGAAAGCGUGGGGGAGCAAACAGGAUUAGAUACCCUGGUAGUCCACGCUGUAAACGAUGAUAACUAGUUGUCAGGGUUCAUAGAACUUUGGUGACGCAGCUAACGCAUUAAGUUAUCCGCCUGGGGAGUACGGUCGCAAGAUUAAAACUCAAAGGAAUUGAC